GUCAGGAUGGCCGAGCGAUCAAAGGCGCUGCGUUCAUGUCGAAGUCGACUCGGUUUUGGCGUGGGUUCGAGUCCCAUUUCUGAUA